ensembl:lncRNA
UGGGGAUUGGGAGGUUAGCAGGUGUGGAUUGGGUGGUUAGCAGGUGGGGAUUGGGAGGUUAGCAGGUGGGGAUUGGGUGGUUAGCAGGUUAGCAGGUGGGGAUUGGGUGGUUAGCAGGUGGGGAUUGGGAGGUUAGCAGGUGGGGAUUGGGAGGUUAGCAGGUGGGGAUUGGGAGGUUAGCAGGUGGGGAUUGGGAGGUUAGCAGGUGGGGAUUGGGUGGUUAGCAGGUGGGGAUUGGGAGGUUAGCAGGUGGGGAUUGGGUGGUUAGCAGGUGGGGAUUGGGAGGUUAGCAGGUAAAGGGGAAUGUAUUGAUGCAGUUCCUGGUUUGAGAGAACAAGAGAACACCAUAUGAUGGAAGAACAGCUGGUUACAAUAUGUGAUUGAACUGUAAGUAGCUUUGCAUUACCUAACCACAGUCCCACAGCAUGCCUGAGACAUACUCAUAAACACAAGCGCGCAC